AAAAACAUAGCUUAAUGAAAUUUUAAUAUUAGGUGUAUUCUGCCCAGUGAUUUAUUUUUAACGGCCGCAGUACUUUGACUGUGCUAAGGUAGCAUAAUAAUUUGACUUUUAAUUGUGGUCUGGAAUGAAAGGGAACACGGAAAGUAGCUGUCUUAUAGAAAUUAUACAAAAUUUUUUUAUAAGGUGAAAAUACCUUAGUAUUAUUUAUUAGACGAGAAGACCCUUAGAGUUUUAAUUUUUUUUGUUUUUGUUGGGGCGACAAAGUUACAUAUAACUUACUUUAUUUUUAAUAAACAAGCCAAGUUACUAAGAGAGAUAAAACUACCUAAGGGAUAACAGCAUAAUUUUUUGAUUAGAUUAUGACCUCGAUGUUGGAUUAGGGUAAAUAUUGGUUAACAGCUAGUAUUUUUUGUUCUGUUCGAACUAUUAACCCCUACAUGAUCUGAGUUCAGACCGG
rnacentral:rRNA from 1 species